UUUUGUAGAUUAAGUUCUAAACAACAUCCUGAUGUCCACUUGAAUCUCCAGCACCUCAAAAAUCUCUGGGCUGGAUCUUCUUGGCUGUGAUAGUGGCCCUGGCUCUUCUGACAGGUCUUGGAUUUUGGUUUAUGAAACACUGGACACACUGUGAAGCUCCCUGCAGUGCUCUCCCUUUGCAAUGAGGACCCA
rnacentral:lncRNA from 1 species